GGGGAAUAUUGGACAAUGGACCGAGAGUCUGAUCCAGCAAUUCUGUGUGCACGAUGAAGUUUUUCGGAAUGUAAAGUGCUUUCAGUUGGGAAGAAAAAAAUGACGGUACCAACAGAAGAAGUGACGGCUAAAUACGUGCCAGCAGCCGCGGUAAUACGUAUGUCACGAGCGUUAUCCGGAUUUAUUGGGCGUAAAGCGCGUCUAGGUGGUUAUGUAAGUCUGAUGUGAAAAUGCAGGGCUCAACUCUGUAUUGCGUUGGAAACUGUAUAACUAGAGUACUGGAGAGGUAAGCGGAACUACAAGUGUAGAGGUGAAAUUCGUAGAUAUUUGUAGGAAUGCCGAUGGGGAAGCCAGCUUACUGGACAGAUACUGACGCUAAAGCGCGAAAGCGUGGGUAGCAAACAGGAUUAGAUACCCUGGUAGUCCACGCUGUAAACGAUGAUUACUAGGUGUUGGGGGUCGAACCUCAGCGCCCAAGCAAACGCGAUAAGUAAUCCGCCUGGGGAGUACGUACGCAAGUAUG
rnacentral:rRNA from 1 species